UACGGAGGGGGCUAGCGUUGUUCGGAAUUACUGGGCGUAAAGGGCGCGUAGGCGGAUGUCUAAGUUGGGGGUGAAAUCCCGGGGCUCAACCUCGGAACCGCCUUCAAUACUGGAUAUCUUGAGUUCGGGAGAGGUGAGUGGAAUGCCGAGUGUAGAGGUGAAAUUCGUAGAUAUUCGGCGGAACACCGGUGGCGAAGGCGGGUCUCUGGGCCGAUACUGACGCUGAGGAGCGAAAGCGUGGGGAGCGAACAGG
rnacentral:rRNA from 1 species